rnacentral:rRNA from 1 species
AUGGCCAUGGAGGCUGCACUCGUCAGCGUGGCGACGGGGGUCCUCAAACCUGUCAUAGGGAAGCUGACCGUCCUGCUCGGCAAUGAGUACAAGCGUUUCAAAACAGUUCGAAAGGAGAUCAAGUCUCUCACUAAUGAGCUUGCCGCAAUGGAGGCUUUUCUCCUCAAGAUGUCGGAGGAGGAGGAUCCUGAUGUGCAGGAUAAAGUCUGGAUGAAUGAGGUGCGGGAGCUGUCCUAUGACCUGGAGGACGCCAUCGACGACUUCAUGCAAAGCAUCGGUGACAAAGACGAAAAGCCAGAUGGCUUCAUCGAGAAAGUGAAGAACUCACUAGGGAAGUUGGGGAAGAUGAAGGCUCGUCGUCGGAUCGGCAAGGAGAUUCAGGAUCUGAAGAAACAAAUCAAAGAGGUGGGUGAGAGGAAUGCAAGGUACAAGGGUCGUGAGGCCUUCUCCAACUCCAAGAAUGCAACCGUUGACCCUAGAGCCCUUGCUAUCUUUGAGCAUGCCUCAAAGCUCGUCGGAAUUGAUGAGCCCAAGGCUGAGAUAAUCAAGCUGUUAACAGAAGAGGAUGUUCGUGCUUCAGAGCAACAACAACAACCAAAGAUAGUCUCCAUCACUGGACCUGGAGGAAUGGGCAAAACAACUCUUGCAAACCAAGUGUAUCAAGAGCUAAAAGGAAAAUAUGAGUGUUGGGCUUUCAUCUCAGUUUCACGAAAUCCAGACAUGACGAAUGUCUUGAGAACCAUUCUAAGUGAAGUGGCUAAGAAAGACUAUGCUACCACUGAAGCUGGGAAUAUACAACAACUCAUCAUCAAGAUCAUAGAUUUUCUAGCAGACAAAAGGUACAUUUUGUCUUUAAUAUUUUUUCAUUUCUACUUGUCAUCUUUGAAUGUAUAA